rnacentral:rRNA from 1 species
GAUGAACGCUGGCGGCGUGCUUAACACAUGCAAGUCGAACGGGAAGGCCUCUUCUUGCAGGCGAACUCGAGUGCCGAACGGGUGUGUGUCACGCGGGUGGUCUCUCCUGCACUUCGGGAUACGCCUGUGAAACUCGGCCGCUUAUCCGGUAGAAUAACGUUAUGGAUACUGUUGUGGAAUGAAUUACGGUGUGGGAUGAGCUCGCGGUCUAGCAGCUUGUUGUUGGGUUAAUGGCCUGCCAAGGUGUCGCCGGGUAGCUGGACUGUGAGGGUGUACGGCGACAGUGGGACUGAGAGACGGCCGAGGCUCCGACGGGAGGCAGAAGUGGGGAAUAUUGCACAAUGGGCGCAAGGCUGAUGCAGCGAGGCCGCGUGGGGGAUGACGGCCUUCGGGUUGAAAACUCCUUUCGCUAGGGACGAAGCGUUUUUGUGACGGUACCUGGAGAAGAAGCACCGGCUAACUACGUG